UACGUAGGGCGCAAGCGUUUGUCCGGAAUUAUUGGGCGUAAAGAGCUCGUAGGCGGUUUGUCGCGUCUGCUGUGAAAACCUAAGGCUCAACCUUGGGCUUGCAGUGGGUACGGGCAGACUAGAGUGCGGUAGGGGGUGACUGGAAUUCCUGGGUGUAGCGGUGGAAUGCGCAGAUAUCAGGAGGGAACACCCGGGUGGGCGAAGGGCGGGGUCUCUGGGGCAGUAACUGACGCUGGAGGAGCGA
rnacentral:rRNA from 1 species